rnacentral:lncRNA from 1 species
CAGGCAAGUCGUGGGGUGACUAUGGUCAGUCCUUCCACCGCAGGAGGGCCUGCACAGAAGCCCCAAGGAAAUGGCGUGGCUGGGAAUCCCAGCGUCGUCCCCACAGCUGUGGUGUCAGCAGCUCAUAUCCAGACAAGUCCCCAGGCUAAGGUCCUGCUGCACAUGACUGGGCAGAUGACAGUCAACCAGGCCCGAAAUGCUGUGAGGACAGGUAAGAGGGGAACAGGCCUGGAAUGCAUGAGGAAUGGGCUUAGGUGACUAAGCAGGUUGGUGACAACAGGUGUCGAGAAAAGCAAGUAUGAAUUUAAAAUAAUCACUGCCCUCUUGAACUAGAAACUACAAACCAAACUGUGUUGCCAGGACUUCUUCACCAC